GCAAACUUGGUCAUUUAGAGGAAGUAAAAGUCGUAACAAGGUUUCCGUAGGUGAACCUGCGGAAGGAUCAUUAAAAGUAAAUAUGUAUUCGUCAUGAAUAUGCAUUUCAAACCCCCCCCUGCGUACAUUUCCUGUUGCUUCCUCGAGUCAGUGAUCCUCGAUCACCUCCAGACGAUGCGCGAUGCUAUCGGUAUGACGGAGAGCACUCGAGAAUGGUCCACAUCAAACCCUUGAAUUUUCUAUGUCAUCUGUCUGAACCAUGUUUAUAACAAAUAUCAAAACUUUCAACAACGGAUCUCUUGGUUCUCGCAUCGAUGAAGAACGCAGC
rnacentral:misc_RNA from 1 species